rnacentral:misc_RNA from 1 species
GAUGAAGAACGUAGCGAAAUGCGAUAAGUAAUGUGAAUUGCAGAAUUCAGUGAAUCAUCGAAUCUUUGAACGCACAUUGCGCCCCCUGGUAUUCCGGGGGGCAUGCCUGUCCGAGCGUCAUUACAACCCUCAAGCUCAGCUUGGUGUUGGGCCCCGCCGCCCCGGCGGGCCCUAAAGUCAGUGGCGGUGCCGUCCGGCUCCGAGCGUAGUAAUUCUUCUCGCUCUGGAGGUCCGGUCGUGUGCUCGCCAGCAACCCCCAAUUUUUUUCAGGUUGACCUCGGAUCAGGUAGGGAUACCCGCUGAACUUAAGCAUAUCAAUACGCGGAGGA